rnacentral:rRNA from 1 species
AACGAACGCUGGCGGCAGGCCUAACACAUGCAAGUCGAACGAGAUCUUCGGAUCUAGUGGCGGACGGGUGAGUAACGCGUGGGAACGUGCCCUUCUCUACGGAAUAGUCCUGGGAAACUGGGUUUAAUACCGUAUACGCCCUUCGGGGAAAGAAUUUCGGGGAAGGAUCGGCCCGCGUUGGAUUAGGUAGUUGGUGGGGUAAUGGCCUACCAAGCCGACGAUCUAUAGCUGGUUUUAGAGGAUGAUCAGCAACACUGGGACUGAGACACGGCCCAGACUCCUACGGGAGGCAGCAGUGGGGAAUCUUGGACAAUGGGGGCAACCCUGAUCCAGCCAUGCCGCGUGAGUGAUGAAGGCCUUAGGGUCGUAAAGCUCUUUCGCCUGUGAUGAUAAUGACAGUAGCAGGUAAAGA